ACGUUGAAAAACCAGUUCCUGUACGAUCACCGAAGUUAAGCAAUGUCAAGCCUGUUCAGUACCUUGAUGGUCGACCUCUUGUGAAUACCAUGUGCAGUAA